UUCUGUUCAUGAUUCAAGUUUUUUUUUGUACAAUUGAUUGUUCUAUUUAUGAUUUUGCUACAUCCUUUUGCCAAUAGAAACCCAAAAUUUUCUUCGUUGAAGAUUUGUACUUUUUUUUCACGUCCAAGUUUUGCCGGUUGCCUUGCCUUUGUUAUAUAUAUUAGCGAUGGAUUGACAAAGGUGGGACUCAAACUUGAGACCUUACCUCUCUUGCUUUUUUGCAAGAGUACCAUUAAGCUACAAGCUCAUUGGUAUGAUUUCAUGCUUUGUUUAUAAGGGCUUGUUGAUUUUUUUUCCGACAAACAAAGUUGGAUCUCUCUGAAUGCUGAUAGGAACAAAAUUCAAUGGUUACUCUAGAAAACACAAGAUCAUCUUUUUUGGUGAAUAACAUCAAUAUUUGGAAUCUUAAGUCCAGUACUCCAGUCAAAGUUGGAUCUCUCUCUCUCUCUAUCUUUGUCUGUGUGUUUGCUAAAUUCACCUGUUACUUAUUCUACUUUCAUGGUUUAGUAACUUUGCUGUUGUUUCUCUCUUUCUCUAUGUAUUUGUUAAAAUCUCAUAGAGAUUCUACAACUAGUUUCUUUAACCAUGCCCUUUUGGUACAUUAGGUUGUCGCCUUUUGUUUAUAUGAUCAUAUUAUUGAGGUUUAAUUGGAUGUGGUUAUGGUCCUACAGGUAAGAAUGAUUACCCAGGAGUUUUCCCGAGAAGUUAACCGUUGGACUGCCGAAGCUUUAGUUGCAGUUCAGGAGGCAGCAGAGGAUUUUUUUGGUUCAUCUGUUUGAAGAUGGCAUGCUCUGUGCAAUUCAUGCAAAACGCGUUACAUUAAUGAAAAAGGAUUUUGAGCUGGCUCGGCGGCUUGGAGGGAAGGGACAACUUUGGUGAGAGUAUGACAGUAAAAGAGCAUCCCUUAUUGUAACCACCUUGUUAUGUAAUUAUGCGGUUGUUCUUUGGCAGCCAUCGCUUUCUAGCUGUUUAGCAGGUGUAGUGGUAUACAAUUAGGAAGUAAGAAGCAGUCUCGAUCCUCUUCACACCAUUUGCAAUGUGGCAGCGUCUAGAAAUUUAUGAACACAGAAAAUUUGUGGUCCAUGAUAUUUUAGACUAUAGAGAAGGUAGAUCCCAUGUCAAAGUUUCCUUGGAAUCCACAAAUCAUACUAGGGUUAGAAGUGGCCAUUUAUUUUACUGUAAGCAUGUCCAGCACCCAUAUUUACUCCUGCUACUGUCAGGAUUUAUUAUUAUUGAAAAUGCUUGUUUUGAA